UAGUCCACGCCGUAAACGAUGUCUACUAGCCGUUGGGAGACUUGAUUUCUUAGUGGCGCAGCUAACGCAAUAAGUAGACCGCCUGGGGAGUACGGCCGCAAGGUUAAAACUCAAAUGAAUUGACGGGGGCCCGCACAAGCGGUGGAGCAUGUGGUUUAACUCGAUGCAACGCGAAGAACCUUACCAGGUCUUGACAUCCAGAGAACUUUCCAGAGAUGGAUUGGUGCCUUCGGGAGCUCUGUGACAGGUGCUGCAUGGCUGUCGUCAGCUCGUGUCGUGAGAUGUUGGGUUAAGUCCCGUAACGAGCGCAACCCUUGUCCUUAGUUGCCAGCGCGUAAUGGCGGGAACUCUAAGGAGACUGCCGGUGACAAGCCGCGAGGAAGGUGGGGAUGACGUCAAAUCAUCAUGGCCUUUAUGCCCUGGGCGACACACGUGCUACAAUGGCCGGUACAGAGGGUCGCGAAGCCGCGAGGUGGAGCCAAUCCCAGAAAGCCGGUCUC
rnacentral:rRNA from 1 species